UAUAAAUAUGUGAAAUGUUUCGUCAUUUUAUCAGUUCCUAAGUUAACAUCAAAUUGAAAACUAUUGAAUUGAAUUGAAGUCAAUAUCGAAAUGAAAGUUUUUAUUAUUGUUGCCUUAUUUGGCAUGACUUUAUCCAUUGAUCCAUCUUCAGAACCACCAAGCAACGAUGAAUUUGUGAAAACGGUUCGUAAAGCAAUGGUCAGCUGUGAUUUUAAGGAGGGUUGUUAUAGGCAAUGUAUUGUUGAGACGAUUUGUUUGAUCGAUUCAAAUGGUGAUUUGCACAUUGAAGUAUUACCCGAGGAAUAUCAUGAGAAAAUAACGGCUUGUUAUGAAAGAUUUAAAAUUUAGGUGCGUGUGAAAGGGCUACAAAGAUAACCGGAUGUUAUCCAAAAUGGUAAUCAGUAGUUAUUUGAUAAAAAUAUAAAUAUAAAUAUAAAAUAAAAGCAUACAAAAUAUUUUUUGCUUUUUCGUGGUUGUAAACUAUAUUUUUUAAAUAAAAACUUGUUCAACAAAUAUUAUUUUAACAUUCGGUUAUAAAAACAUUAGAUAAUGAUGAAGCCCUUCCCACAAGAUUAAUAUAAUUAAUAGUUUUGAUUAAAGCAAUUGGAAAAUUUGAAUAAAUGUCAAAUUAACAUAUAAAAACGGAUGUUUUUCGUUACGCUUAUGAUUCCUAUUAUUCAAAUUAAUUAAAAAUUGCUUAUAAACAUCCAGAGAAUUUGUUUUCGAAACAGUUUCAAAUCUACUCUACGUCAAACAAGAAAUAAUUCAUCAUGAAAAUUCUCCUUAUAAUUGUAUUCGUUGGCCUAACUUGUGUGGUUGCUGAUCAAUCCGAAGAAGAAUUCAAAAAUUCAGUGGAUAAAGCAAUGAAAACAUGCGGACAGAAAACACUAUCCAAAGAGUGUAUGUUUGAAUGUAUCAUGAAAGAAUCCGGCAUGUUGGAUGCAAAUGAUAAUUUCCGUGAAGAGGUAAUUCCGGAAAGAUUGCGGGUGAAAGCAGUGGAAUGUUUCAACGAGACUAAUCAAUUCAGCGGCUGUGCUAGGGCUAGUGCUGUCGCCGACUGUUUUCCGAAAUAGUCGAAUAAUAUUAUUUUAAUUAAAACCCAUGUAUCUGUUAUUGUCGGAAAUGUAUAAUAUAGACCUUGCAUGUCGAUUCGUUAUUUCAAACAUGAAUAACCUCGAAUUAAUUUUAUUUGUAUAAAUACAGCCUGAUAUAAUACUAUCAUUGGUUGAUUUGUGGUCAAAAGUAUUGCAAGCAUUAAAAAUGAAAUUAUUUUUGAUUUUUUUGAGUUGUGCCCUUUUUGGCUUGGCAUAUUCCAAUGUAUUGGAGGAUAAAAUAUCUGAAAUAACGAAAGUAUGCAAAGAUGAAAAGGGCGACUGCUUCACAGAAUGCCUUUUUGAAGCGAUGGAUCUAAUCGACAAAGAUGGUAAUUUCCACGAGGAAAGACUCCC